rnacentral:rRNA from 1 species
ACAGGGGGAUAACGCAUCGAAAGGUGCACUAAUACCGCAUGAGACCACGCUCCCGACAUGAGAGAGGGGUCAAAGGAGCAAUCCGGUGAGAGAUGGGCUCGCGUCUGAUUAGCUGGUUGGUGAGGUAACGGCCCACCAAGGCGACGAUCAGUAGCCGACCUGAGAGGGUGAUCGGCCACAUUGGAACUGAGAUACGGCCCAAACUCCUACGGGAGGCAGCAGUGGGGAAUAUUGGGCAAUGGGGGAAACCCUGACCCAGCAACGCCGCGUGAAGGAAGAAGGUUUUCGGAUCGUAAACUUCUAUCCUUGGUGAAAAUAGUGAUGGUAGCCAAGAAGGAAGCCCCGGCUAACUACGUGCCAGCAGCCGCGGUAAUACGUAGGGGGCAAGCGUUGUCCGGAAUAAUUGGGCGUAAAGGGCGCGUAGGCGGCUCGGUAAGUCUGGAGUGAAAGUCCUGCUUUUAAGGUGGGAAUUGCUUUGGAUACUGUCGGGCUUGAGUGCAGGAGAGGUUAGUGGAAUUCCCAGUGUAGCGGUGAAAUGCGUAGAGAUUGGGAGGAACACCAGUGGCGAAGGCGGCUUACUGGACUGUUACUGACGCUGAGGCGCGAAAGUGUGGGGAGCAAACAGGAUUAGAUACCCUGGUAGUCCACACUGUAAACGAUGAAUGCUAGGUGUAGGGGGUAUCGACCCCUUCUGUGCCGCAGUUAACACAAUAAGCAUUCCGCCUGGGGAGUACGGCCGCAAGGUUGAAACUCAAAGGAAUUGACGGGGGCCCGCACAAGCAGCGGAGCAUGUGGUUUAAUUCGAC